AUGAUCGAGAGAAAAGAAAAAUAAAAGCUAACGUUUCUGUGGUUCAGAGCACCUUGAUACCGGAAAAUUACAAGCACAAGAAUCGGGUUAUAAAGAAGAGACUGACGCCGAAUAAGCUCCGCCCCCGGCUCUUUCCGGUCUCUGGCAAACGCUUUCCGGGCUGAGAUCCUCACUAAAACCCGGAAAAGCGGAUUUUCGGCAGCGCCGGAGCCAAGCACAGCACUGCGCAUGCUCUGUCUCCAGGCGCGGUGCGCCAAGUUGCCAGGACCCGCUGCGGCGGCUGCGUGUGGUUCGGCCUCUGGGGCUAGCUGGUGGCGGCGGCCUAGGGAGGCUCAGCGGCUGGUGGGCAGACUCAGGAAUCUCUGGUGUCAG